rnacentral:rRNA from 1 species
AACCUGGUUGGGUGGUCUGCCUUCAUGGUAUGUACUGCUUGGCUGGGUUCUACCUCUUGGUGAGCCGGCAUGCCCUUUACUGGGUGUGUUGGGGAAUUUGGACUGUUACUUUGAAAAAAUUAGAGUGUUUAAAGCAAGCUAACGCUUGAAUACAUUAGCAUGGAAUAAUGAAAUAGGACGUUCGAUCCUAUUUUGUUGGUUUCUAGGAUUGACGUA